ACAUGCCGCCAAAUGGCUAAGCCGCGAACGGCUCAUUAAAUCAGCUAUGGUUCCUUAGAUCUUCGGCCGCGUCCUCGGACGUGGCGUUUGGAUAACUGUGGUAAUUCUAGAGCUAAUACAUGCCUGACGCCGUCGGGGCCCGCGAGGGUCGCGACGUCUUUAUCCCGUCAAGACCAGCCGGCGCAGCGCGGUUCUCGGACCGUGGCGGCCGACCUCUUUGAUGAACUCUGGAUAACUCCACUUGACCGCAUGGCCUUGCGCCSGCGGCUGAUCUAAUAAAUGUCUGCCUUAUCAACUGUCSACSGKAGGARCCCGGCCUACCGUGGUGAUAACGGGUARCGGGGAAUAARGGUUCUAUACCGGAAARGGARCAUGAAAAACGGCUACCACAUCCAAGGAAGGSAGCARGSACSCAAAUUACCCACUCCCGGCACGGGGAGGUAGUGACSAUCAAUAACSAUGCSGGACUCUGACSARGCUCCCUAAUCSGAAUGGGCGUAAUUUAAAUCCUUCCACSAAGAUCAA
rnacentral:rRNA from 1 species